AGCGGCAGACGGGCGAGUAACACGUAGGUGAUCUACCCCAGAGACGGGGAUAACGGGUGGAAACAUCCGCUAAUACCGGAUAGGCUUGUUCGGUCAAAGGGACAAGGAAAGGCUCCGGCGCUCUGGGAGGAGCCUGCGGCCCAUCAGCUAGUUGGCGGGGUAACGGCCCACCAAGGCAAAGACGGGUAGGGGGUGUGAGAGCAUGGCCCCCCACAAUGGGACUGGAACACGGCCCAUACUCCUACGGGAGGCAGCAGCAGGGAAUAUUGCACAAUGGACGGAAGUCUGAUGCAGCGACGCCGCGUGGAUGAAGAAGGCCCUCGGGUUGUAAAAUCCUUUACAGGGGGAAGAGGAAGGACGGUACCCCUGGAACAAGUGUCGGCUAACUACGUGCCAGCAGCCGCGGUAAGACGUAGGACACAAGCGUUAUCCGGAUUUACUGGGCGUAAAGCGUCUGCAGGCGGACAGGUAAGUUGGGCGUGAAAGCUCCGGGCCCAACCCGGAGAGGUCGUUCAAUACUGCGUGUCUAGAGGGUGUCAGAGGGGAGUGGAAUUUCCGGAGUAGCGGUAAAAUGCGCAGAGAUCGGAAAGAACACCAAUGGCGAAGGCAGCUCCCUGGGGCAACCCUGACGCUAAGAGACGAAAGCUAGGGGAGCGAACAGGAUUAGAGACCCUGGUAGUCCUAGCCCUAAACGAUGGAUGCUGGAUGUGGGGCCAUUAGCGGCUCCGUGUCGAAGCGAACGCGUUAAGCAUCCCGCCUGGGGACUACGGGCGCAAGGUUAAAAGUCAAACGAAUUGACGGGACCCCGGGACAAGCAGCGGAGCGUGUGGUUUAAUUCGAUGCUACACGAAGAACCUUACACUGGGUUUGACAUCUAGGUGGUAGUGAAGCGAAAGCGGAGCGACCCUUCGGGGGGCCUAGACAGGUGCUGCAUGGCGGUCGUCAGCUCGUGCCGUGAAGGUGCCGGGUUAAGUCCCGUAACGAGAGCAACCCUUGCCCUCCGUUAUACGUGUCAGAGGGGACUGCCGCCGGUAAGCGGAGGAAGGUGGGGAUGACGUCAAGUCAGCAUGGCCUUUAUAUCCAGGGCUACACACACGCUACAAUGGCCAGUACAAAGGGCAGCGAAGCCGCGAGGUGGAGCGAAUCCCAGCAAAGCUGGUC
rnacentral:rRNA from 1 species